CUAUGGCCAUACCACAAUGAAACACUGUUUCCCAAUGCAAUCUCUGAAGUUAAGCAAUGUUGAACCUAGUCAGUAUCUAGAUGGGUGACUGCUUGGGAAUACCAGAUGCUGUAAG